UACGUAGGGGGCAAGCGUUGUCCGGAUUUAUUGGGCGUAAAAGGCUUGUAGGUGGCCACGCCAAGUCGGAUGUGAAAUCUCCCGGCUCAACUGGGAGGGGUCAUUCGAUACUGGCGGGCUCGAGGCCGGUAGGGGGAAGUGGAAUUCCUGGUGUAGCGGUGAAAUGCGCAGAUAUCAGGAGGAACACCGGUGGCGAAGGCGGUUCUCUGGGCAUGUCCUGACGCUGAGGAGCGAAAGUGUGGGGAGCGAACAGG
rnacentral:rRNA from 1 species